rnacentral:rRNA from 1 species
GACGAACGCUGGCGGCGUGCCUAAUACAUGCAAGUAGAACGCUGAAGAGAGGAGCUUGCUCUUCUUGGAUGAGUUGCGAACGGGUGAGUAACGCGUAGGCAACCUGCCUUGUAGCGGGGGAUAACUAUUGGAAACGAUAGCUAAUACCGCAUAACAAUAGGUGACACAUGUCAUUUAUUUGAAAGGGGCAAUUGCUCCACUACAAGAUGGACCUGCGUUGUAUUAGCUAGUAGGUGAGGUAACGGCUCACCUAGGCGACGAUACAUAGCCGACCUGAGAGGGUGAUCGGCCACACUGGGACUGAGACACGGCCCAGACUCCUACGGGAGGCAGCAGUAGGGAAUCUUCGGCAAUGGGGGCAACCCUGACCGAGCAACGCCGCGUGAGUGAAGAAGGUUUUCGGAUCGUAAAGCUCUGUUGUAAGUCAAGAACGAGUGUGAGAGUGGAAAGUUCACACUGUGACGGUAGCUUACCAGAAAGGGACGGCUAACUACGUG